CAGUCGCCGCGGUAAUACAGAGGGUGCGAGCGUUAAUCGGAUUUACUGGGCGUAAAGCGUGCGUAGGCGGCUUCUUAAGUCGGAUGUGAAAUCCCUGAGCUUAACUUAGGAAUUGCAUUCGAUACUGGGAAGCUAGAGUAUGGGAGAGGAUGGUAGAAUUCCAGGUGUAGCGGUGAAAUGCGUAGAGAUCUGGAGGAAUACCGAUGGCGAAGGCAGCCAUCUGGCCUAAUACUGACGCUGAGGUACGAAAGCAUGGGGAGCAAACAGGAUUAGAUACCCCUGUAGUCCUGUCUCUUAUACA
rnacentral:rRNA from 1 species